rnacentral:lncRNA from 1 species
CCCUUUUAUGUUGAAUGCGAUUUUAUACUCACACAUCUAAUCAACCAAGUCAAAUGAUUGGUUGCGUGGGUGCUUGAAACUUGAAAUAUAAAAUGAACGGUUGUAUUCUCCUAAUUUGAUGAAAGAAUUCUUAUUAUCCAUUAAUCUUGAAAUAAUAAUAUGAUAUAAAUAUAUUUCCAAUGGUGCAGUUCUCAUGUUUUCGUUCUCAAAGAAAAAAAUAAGGAG